rnacentral:rRNA from 1 species
UGCUUUUUCUACAAUCUAGUGGCAAACGGGUGAGUAACGCGUAAACAACCUGCCCUGCGGAUGGGGACAACAGCUGGAAACGGCUGCUAAUACCGAAUACGUUCCGGAAGUCGCAUGACUGUCGGAAGAAAGGAUGGCCUCUAUUUAUAAGCUAUCGCCGGAGGAGGGGUUUGCGUCUGAUUAGCUAGUUGGAGGGGUAACGGCCCACCAAGGCGACGAUCAGUAGCCGGUCUGAGAGGAUGAACGGCCACAUUGGAACUGAGACACGGUCCAGACUCCUACGGGAGGCAGCAGUGGGGAAUCUUCCGCAAUGGGCGAAAGCCUGACGGAGCAACGCCGCGUGAGUGAAGACGGCCUUCGGGUUGUAAAGCUCUGUUAUACGGGACGAAUAAUCUUGUGGUUAAUACCCAUGAGAAGUGACGGUACCGUAAGAGAAAGCCACGGCUAACUACGUGCCAGCAGCCGCGGUAAUACGUAGGUGGCAAGCGUUGUCCGGAAUUAUUGGGCGUAAAGGGCGCGCAGGCGGCUUCUUAAGUCUGUCUUAAAAGUGCGGGGCUUAACCCCGUGAUGGGAUGGAAACUGGGAAGCUCAGAGUAUCGGAGAGGAAAGCGGAAUUCCUAGUGUAGCGGUGAAAUGCGUAGAUAUUAGGAGGAACACCAGUGGCGAAAGCGGCUUUCUGGACGAAAACUGACGCUGAGGCGCGAAAGCCAGGGGAGCGAGCGGGAUUAGAUACCCCGGUAGUCCUGGCCGUAAACGAUGGGUACUAGGUGUAGGAGGUAUCGACCCCUUCUGUGCCGGAGUUAACGCAAUAAGUACCC